UACAGAGGGUGCGAGCGUUAAUCGGAAUUACUGGGCGUAAAGCGUGCGCAGGCGGUUUUGUAAGCCAGAUGUGAAAUCCCCGGGCUUAACCUGGGAAUGGCAUUUGGGACUGCAAGGCUGGAGUGCGGCAGAGGAGACUGGAAUUCCUGGUGUAGCGGUGAAAUGCGCAGAUAUCAGGAGGAACACCGGUGGCGAAGGCGGGUCUCUGGGCCGAUACUGACGCUGAGGAGCGAAAGCGUGGGGAGCGAACAGG
rnacentral:rRNA from 1 species